rnacentral:rRNA from 1 species
UACGUAGGGUGCAAGCGUUGUCCGGAUUUACUGGGUGUAAAGGGCGCGCAGGCGGAUUGGUAAGUCAUUGGUGAAAUUUUUCAGCUUAACUGAAAAACUGCCUUUGAUACUAUUAAUCUUGAGUACGGUAGAGGAAGAUGGAAUUCCAGGUGUAGCGGUGAAAUGCGUAGAUAUCUGGAAGAACACCAGUUGCGAAGGCGAUCUUCUGGCCCGUUACUGACGCUCAGGCGCGAAAGCGUGGGUAGCAAACAGG